rnacentral:rRNA from 1 species
AUACGGAGGGGACUAGCGUUGUUCGGAAUUACUGGGCGUAAAGCGUACGUAGGCGGAUCAGAAAGUAUGGGGUGAAAUCCCAGGGCUCAACCCUGGAACUGCCUCAUAAACUCCUGGUCUUGAGUUCGAGAGAGGUGAGUGGAAUUCCGAGUGUAGAGGUGAAAUUCGUAGAUAUUCGGAGGAACACCAGUGGCGAAGGCGGCUCACUGGCUCGAUACUGACGCUGAGGCACGAAAGUGUGGGGAGCAAACAGGAUUAGAAACCCUAGUAGUCC